CUGAAUGGAGCAUACAGAGUACUGUCUACGAAGAUGUCAAAGCGGGCAUAUCCCUCAGGAGCGGAGAAGAGGAAGAAAAACAAAGUCAAACAAACAAGCUCAAGGAGAGCAAUAUUCAGAUAUUUUGGUGGAGGAUAAACGCACUGCAGCUGGAGAUGACAAUACUCCAACUCCUGGUUCAUCCACAGAGGACACCUCAACAGAUGCUCCUGGUACAUAGACUAUAUUUCCAACAGGAAAUGAAUAAUGUCUUUGUUUACAACAAUUUGAACUCAUUUAUGAUUUUUAGAUAUAACGAUUAAGAUACUGAUAUAAAGUAAUAUACACCAAAAUUUAAAAAGAAUGUUAAUGUUAAAUGUUACUGGGUUUUUUUUCUUACAUUACAGUACAU